rnacentral:tRNA from 1 species
GCGGGAAUAGCUCAGUUGGUAGAGCACGACCUUGCCAAGGUCGGGGUCGCGAGUUCGAGCCUCGUUUCCCGUC